GCACUUGUAGCUCAGGGGAUAGAGCAGUUGCAUCCGAGGCAAUUGGUCGCAGGUUCGAUUCCUGUCAAGUGCGCCA
rnacentral:tRNA from 1 species